AUUGAACGCUGGCGGCAGGCCUAACACAUGCAAGUCGAACGGUAACAGGAAGCAGCUUGCUGCUUCGCUGACGAGUGGCGGACGGGUGAGUAAUGUCUGGGAAGCUGCCUGAUGGAGGGGGAUAACUACUGGAAACGGUAGCUAAUACCGCAUAAUGUCGCAAGACCAAAGAGGGGGACCUUCGGGCCUCUUGCCAUCGGAUGUGCCCAGAUGGGAUUAGCUUGUUGGUGGGGUAACGGCUCACCAAGGCGACGAUCCCUAGCUGGUCUGAGAGGAUGACCAGCCACACUGGAACUGAGACACGGUCCAGACUCCUACGGGAGGCAGCAGUGGGGAAUAUUGCACAAUGGGCGCAAGCCUGAUGCAGCCAUGCCGCGUGUAUGAAGAAGGCCUUCGGGUUGUAAAGUACUUUCAGCGGGGAGGAAGGGAGUAAAGUUAAUACCUUUGCUCAUUGACGUUACCCGCAGAAGAAGCACCGGCUAACUCCG
rnacentral:rRNA from 1 species